rnacentral:misc_RNA from 1 species
GAUGAAGAACGUAGCGAAAUGCGAUAAUUAAUGUGAAUUGCAGAAUUUAGUGAAUCAUCGAAUCUUUGAACGCACAUUGCGCCCCUUGGUAUUCCGGGGGGCAUGCCUGUUCGAGCGUCAUUAUAACCCCUCAAGCUCAGCUUGGUGUUGGGGCCUGCUGCACUGGCAGCCCUUAAAAUCAGUGGCGGCGCCAUCUGGCUCUAAGCGUAGUAAUUCUUCUCGCUAUGGAGUCCUGGUGGAUGCUUGCCAUCAACCCCCAAUUUUUCUAUGGUUGACCUCGGAUCAGGUAGGGAUACCCGCUGAACUUAAGCAUAUCAAUAAGCGGAGGA